GAUGAACGCUAGCGGCAGGCCUAAUACAUGCAAGUCGAACGGGAUCCAUCAUCUAGCUUGCUAGAUGAUGGUGAGAGUGGCGCACGGGUGUGUAACGCGUGAGCAACCUACCCAUAUCAGGGGGAUAGCCCGGAGAAAUCCGGAUUAACACCGCAUAACACAUUUUAUUCGCAUGGAUUGAAUGUUAAAUAUUUAUAGGAUAUGGAUGGGCUCGCGUGACAUUAGCUAGUUGGUAAGGUAACGGCUUACCAAGGCGACGAUGUCUAGGGGCUCUGAGAGGAGAAUCCCCCACACUGGUACUGAGACACGGACCAGACUCCUACGGGAGGCAGCAGUAAGGAAUAUUGGUCAAUGGAGGGAACUCUGAACCAGCCAUGCCGCGUGCAGGAUGACUGCCCUAUGGGUUGUAAACUGCUUUUAUCUAGGAAUAAACCUAAGUACGUGUACUUAGCUGAAUGUACUAGAAGAAUAAGGAUCGGCUAACUCCGUGCCAGCAGCCGCGGUAAUACGGAGGAUCCAAGCGUUAUCCGGAUUUAUUGGGUUUAAAGGGUGCGUAGGCGGCCUAUUAAGUCAGGGGUGAAAGACGGCAGCUCAACUGUCGCAGUGCCUUUGAUACUGAUGGGCUUGAAUGUGGUUGAAGAUGGCGGAAUGAGACAAGUAGCGGGUGAAAUGCAUAGAUAUGUCUCAGAACUCCGAUUGCGAAGGCAGCUGUCUAAGUCAUAAUUGACGCUGAUGCACGAAAGCGUGGGGAUCGAACAGGAUUAGAUACCCUGGUAGUCCACGCUGUAAACGAUGAGUGCUAGUUGUCGGGCGGCAUGCCGUUCGGUGACGCAGCUAACGCAUUAAGCACUCCGCCUGGGGAGUACGGUCGCAAGAUUAAAACUCAAAGGAAUUGACGGGGGCCCGCACAAGCGGAGGAGCAUGUGGUUUAAUUCGAUGAUACGCGAGGAACCUUACCCGGGCUUGAAAGUUAGUGAAUGAUUCAGAGACGAAUCAGUCCUUCGGGACACGAAACUAGGUGCUGCAUGGCUGUCGUCAGCUCGUGCCGUGAGGUGUUGGGUUAAGUCCCGCAACGAGCGCAACCCCUAUGUUUAGUUGCCAGCAUUUCAGGUGGGGACUCUAAACAGACUGCCUGCGCAAGCAGAGAGGAAGGUGGGGACGACGUCAAGUCAUCAUGGCCCUUACGUCCGGGGCUACACACGUGCUACAAUGGAUGGUACAGCGGGCAGCUACCUGGUAACAGGAUGCUAAUCUCGAAAAGCCAUUCACAGUUCGGAUUGAGGUCUGCAACUCGACCUCAUGAAGUUGGAUUCGCUAGUAAUCGCGUAUCAGCAAUGACGCGGUGAAUACGUUCCCGGGCCUUGUACACACC
rnacentral:rRNA from 1 species